AUUGAACGCUGGCGGCAGGCCUAACACAUGCAAGUCGAGCGGAGCGGCGGACGGUUGAGUAAUGCCUAGGAAUCUGCCCGGUAGUGGGGGACAACGUCCGGAAGUGGGCGCUAUUACCGCAUACUAGCAGAGGAGCCUAGGGCGGAUUAGCUAGUUGGUGGGGUAAAGGCCUACCAAGGCGACGAUCCGUAACUGGUCUGAGAGGAUGAUCAGUCACACUGGAACUGAGACACGGUCCAGACUCCUACGGGAGGCAGCAGUGGGGAAUAUUGGACAAUGGACGAAAGCCUGAUCCAGCCAUGCCGCGUGCGUGAAGAAGGUUUGCGGAUAGUAAACCACGUUAUUUAGGAAGGCGUUACCUGCAGAGAGAGCACCGGCUGACGUCGUGCCAGCAGCCGCGGUAAUUC
rnacentral:rRNA from 1 species